rnacentral:rRNA from 1 species
UACGUAGGGGGCAAGCGUUGUCCGGAAUUAUUGGGCGUAAAGCGCGUGUAGGCGGUCCGGUAAGUCGGUUAUGAAAGUCCAGGGCUCAACCCUGGGAUGCCGACCGAUACUGUCGGACUAGAGUUCGGAAGAGGCGAGUGGAAUUCCCGGUGUAGCGGUGAAAUGCGCAGAUAUCGGGAGGAACACCAAUGGCGAAGGCAGCUCGCUGGGACGUUACUGACGCUGAGACGCGAAAGCGUGGGGAGCAAACAGG